rnacentral:rRNA from 1 species
UACAGAGGGGGCGAGCGUUAUUCGGAAUUAUUGGGCGUAAAGGGCGCGUAGGCGGCUUUUCAAGUGACGGGUGAAAUCCCUCGGCUUAACCGAGGAACUGCCUGUCAGACUGGAAGGCUUGAGACCGGGAGAGGUGAGUGGAAUUCCCAGUGUAGCGGUGAAAUGCGUAGAUAUUGGGAGGAACACCAGUGGCGAAGGCGGCUCACUGGACCGGAACUGACGCUGAGGCGCGAAAGCGGUGGGGAGCAAACAGGG